CAGUAGCCACGGUAACACGUAGGGUGCGAGCGUUAAUCGGAAUUACUGGGCGUAAAGCGUGCGCAGGCGGUUUUGUAAGACAGAGGUGAAAUCCCCGGGCUCAACCUGGGAACUGCCUUUGUGACUGCAAGGCUAGAGUACGGCAGAGGGGGAUGGAAUUCCGCGUGUAGCAGUGAAAUGCGUAGAUAUGCGGAGGAACACCGAUGGCGAAGGCAAUCCCCUGGGCCUGUACUGACGCUCAUGCACGAAAGCGUGGGGAGCAAACAGGAUUAGAUACCCCAGUAGUCCCUGUCUCUUAUAC
rnacentral:rRNA from 1 species